AAUUCCCAGUCUCUCACAGCUCGUCUUCUACUCUUCUAUAUAUCCCGGCCCUAUCACUUGGUCCUCUCGCUCGCUCUCUCUCUCUCUCUCUCUCUCUCUCUCUCUCUCUCUCUCCAAUCCUCCAAUUAUUCCCCUCUCUCUCUCUCUCAUGUCCGAUUCUUAUCUUGUUCCUGCUCUUCUUCCUCCAUUAGAGGGUAGCGGUGCUCCACAAGUUGGUGAAGCUGCCAGCAUGAUCUGACGGUAUGAUAGAUGAUACACUUUUACCUCUCUCCCUGAUUGCCAAGGACGAAUUCAGGGUGAGGGGAAAGAGGAAAAAGGCAUCUGCAGGUCAUGCUGUAGUUUCAUCUGCUGGUGGGUGCACAUCGAAAACCCUAGCCGGGAAUUGCAUCCAUGCAUCAAACCGUCGGUGGGUGUCUGUCUUCAGGUCAGUUCCUGCAGAAUUCGUGCUGCAACUGGAUCAGAUAUGGUGAGAUACAGAUCAGAUGCAGGUGUAUGGAGCAGAUCAGCUCAAGUUUGUUCUUUUGAAGCUGGUUUUAUGAAUAUUGUGCUAAUUUCUUGCUUUGCGCUUUUGCUUCUCUCUUCCCGUUCAGUUCUGCAGAGAGCAUAUUUGGAAUUUUGGAUUUUCAUCUUCCAUAUAGUAUUCCUUCUAGUUCUACAUUUAGGUUACUCUCUCUCUCUCUCUCUCUACUUUGAACAAACAGUAGAGAUAAAUUUGAUCCUGUACUGCUAGCCCCUGAAUCAAAUUGUUCCAAUUCAAUUGAAAUCUUGAUAUCUUUCGCUGAAUCGAUAACUUGAACUGUGCCUUAAUUUGCACUUAUGAGAUUUGAUGCUCCCUCAUAUUGUACAUAUAUGUAACGGGUUCGUGUUUCUUUGUUAUAUUUCUUUUCUGGCCUUCUAGGUAACAUUAUUAGUCGUCUGCAAAUGGGCGAUUGCCAUAAUCAGAAAUAAGGAAAUCAUCAGGAAGGUGUCUAAGGAACAGGCCUGUGAGAGUAUGGGAUAUACUGUUUGAGUGUUUCCAUCAGUGUGGCUGUGAUUCACUAUUGUGAUCCUGCUCACAAUCAUGUAGCUAGAUGGAAAGAUGCAUCACAUAGCAAGGCAAGUAUGUAUUAUGAUUAUGAUUACUCCUUGUUGACUAAGGACAAAAUAAUAAUUGUGGGCAAAUAAGGGCGAUGCAUGUAAGGCAUCUGAUUAGACAGCUGAGAAUUUUCAGCGAUGAUGCUUGCUUCCAAGAUAUGCCUAGACGAGUACAUGCAAGCUGAAUGAUUGACUCUUUGCUUCAGGGUUGAAACUGCUGUCCAUCUUUUCAUGACCCCCUUGCAUGAUUGCACACACUUUUCUCCUCUUUUGGGCUUUGUACUAUGGGGUGGAUAUUCAGUACAUCCAUCUAUCCAUCCAUCCACAGCUGAAAUAAAAUGAAAUGGCCUCUCGAGUUUUUUCCCCUCA